GACGAACGCUGGCGGCGUGCUUAACACAUGCAAGUCGAACGGAAAGGCCCUGCUUGCCGGGUACUCGAGUGGCGAACGGGUGAGUAACACGUGGGUGAUCUGCCCUGCACUUCGGGAUAAGCCUGGGAAACUGGGUCUAAUACCGGAUAGGAGCCAUUUUUAGUGUGAUGGUUGGAAAGUUUUUUCGGUGUAGGAUGAGCUCGCGGCCUAUCAGCUUGUUGGUGGGGUAAUGGCCUACCAAGGCGGCGACGGGUAGCCGGCCUGAGAGGGUGGACGGCCACAUUGGGACUGAGAGACGGCCCAGACUCCUACGGGAGGCAGCAGUGGGGAAUAUUGCACAAUGGGCGCAAGCCGGAUGCAGCGACGCCGCGGGGGGGAUGACGGCCUUCGGGUUGUAAACUCCUUUCGCUAGGGACGAAGCUUUUUGUGACGGUACCUAGAUAAGAAGCACCGGCUAACUACGUG
rnacentral:rRNA from 1 species